rnacentral:misc_RNA from 1 species
UGCUUAAGUUGCGUGCACAGGUUGAGAGCCUAAGACAAAGAUGUGAGUUCCAAGAAUUAGAGCUUCAGAAAUCAGCAAAGAAGGUACAAGAUGCAAUGGCAUUAGCUGCAGAAGAAUCUUCCAAAUCUAAAGCUGCAAAAGAUGUUAUAAAGUUGCUUACUGCACAGCUGAAGGAUAUGGCUGAGAGGCUGCCACCUGGCGUAUAUGAUGCUGAGAACAUGAGGCCGGCUUACCUAACAAAUGGUUUGGAGCCAAAUGGUAUUCAUUAUGCUGAUGCAAAUGGAGAGAGGCAUUCGAGAUCUGAUUCCAUCAGUGGAACUUCCUUGGCCUUCCCCACUGGAAUUGACUCUACUUUGUCAAAUGGAGCCCAGGGUCUAGCUCCUUCAUUCCGGGAUCCAAUUCCAACCAAUGGAAAGGAUAACCCUCCAGAUGCAAGACUUCCCAAUGGUGGUGGAAAUGUUCAGUCAAUUAGUAUUGUGUCAGAGUCUGUUGAUGGGAAGGAAUCUAGAUCUCUUCAUGAUGGUGAGAAUGGUGUGACAUUAAGGGAUUCAGCAUUAGUUGCCAGCAGUAAUCAAGUUGAGGCCGAGUGGAUUGAACAGUAUGAGCCUGGUGUGUAUAUAACACUAGUGGCCCUGCGUGAUGGAACUAGAGAUCUUAAACGAGUGCGCUU